rnacentral:misc_RNA from 1 species
GAAAAAGAAGAAGGAAGUUCUUGCUCGGUUACUCCACUUUCAGCACCUUCUGGUUUAGCAAAUAUUCUUCUACAAGAAGAGUAAAGCUUGUGCUGUGGGAUUAUUAGAAAGUGAGGAGUUGAGGGAGAAAAAGCACUGAAAUUUAAGGCCAUGGAAUGUAUAUAUUUUUCUGUGUUUUGGUAAAUUCCGGGAGCUUUGAAGCUUUC